GGAAAGUAAAUUGCUGACAGUUGUUACCCCACUGAUUCCCAAGGUUGAUUUAGCUGAUAUGGCUAGCUAAGCAGAUGUCUUGCUCCAUGUUUGUUCCUCCCAAAGCUGUAUACUUGGUCAAAACCAGUAACUUUCCCUAGUAAUAAUGUUCUGCAGUCAAGGAUUUGAGAGAAUGUAAGGAGGACUCUUCUGGGUAAGAGUCAAUAGGAAUGCAUUUGUUUUUUGAGAGACUAUAAGAAGAGUUUCCUAUCUUCAGAGUAAGAUUGUUCCUUUCUC
rnacentral:sRNA from 1 species